rnacentral:rRNA from 1 species
CACGUAGGGGGCGAGCGUUGUCCGGAUUUAUUGGGCGUAAAGAGCUCGUAGGCGGUUUCGUAAGUCGGAUGUGAAAACUCCAGGCUCAACUUGGAGACGCCAUUCGAUACUGCGAUGACUUGAGUCCGGUAGGGGAGUGUGGAAUUCCUGGUGUAGCGGUGAAAUGCGCAGAUAUCAGGAAGAACACCCGUGGCGAAGGCGGCUCUCUGGGACGGUACUGAUGCUGAGACGCGAAAGCGUGGGGAGCGAACAGG